rnacentral:rRNA from 1 species
AUGAAUGCUAGCGGCGUGGAUAAGGCAUGCAAGUCGAGUGGGUUUAGACCCACGGCAGACGAGGUAGUAAUACACAGGUACGUACCGAAGAGUCGGGGAUAUUCCAUCGAAAGAUGGCGCAAUACCCGAUGGUACCCCAGGGUUAAAGUAGCAAUACGCUCUUUGAACGGCCUGUGUCGCAUCAGCUAGUUGGUAGGGUAACGGCCUACCAAGGCGACGACGCGUAGGGGAGCUGAGAGGCUGACCCCCACCGAUGGAACUGAGACACGGUCCAUACACCUACGGGUGGCUGCAGUCAAGAACAUUUGGCAAUGGGCGAAAGCCUGACCAUGCGACGCCGCGUGCUGGACGAAGUCCUUCGGGACGUAAACAGCUUUUAUGCGUGAAGAAGUAAUUGACAUUAGCGCAUGAAUAAGGGGCUCCUAACUCUGU